rnacentral:tRNA from 1 species
GCCCAGGUGGCGGAACUGGCAGACGCGCUAGGUUCAGGACCUAGUUCCUUUAACCGGGAGUGCAGGUUCGAUCCCUGUCCUGGGCA